AGAGAGAGAAUCAAGUAGAAAAAGAAAUAUGGUCGAGAAAUACGACAAAAUAAAUAUUAGAGAACAUCGAAACGAUUCUUGUGGAUAGACAGUGGUGAAAGAAGGAAACGUUGUUUCUGCCUCCCCGUGUAAUUUGUGCAUCGUGUAAGAAAGCGGUGCGGAAGCUGUGUUGCUGGAACUUUUCCUUCUUGAAAUUACAAGUUUGAUCGGAAGCAGGUUUUCAGGCUGUUACGUCUGAAUCGAACGAUAAUGUAAGAGAGUUCCAUCGGCCGAGAACAGACUUACGUGAGUUCUCAGUUAAGAGCCGAGUUAAUUAAUUUUUCUUUCGGCGAAAGAGAGAUCAGUCGAAGCUCCUGCGUUUUCUAUUGCGUGGGUUUCUUCGUUCGAAAUGAGGCAAAAUUCGACGAUUAUUUUACCAUUUUCAAGAAAUCUUCAUUUGUCGUAGAUUUUCUUUUCUUGUAGUAAGUGCUCGCUUUAAUGUCCAUUGUUAUUUUUAUCAAUUUUUAGAAACAGAAUCUUGAAGUAAAAUCUAACCUAACUUAAACGAACUGGAAAUCCUUAUUUAACUUAUUUCUUUUCUUUCGUUCGAUUUUGAAUUUCGCAAAUUAUCGAAAUUGAAUUUCGGAUUGAAACGAGAUAAAUCUAACCUAAAAAAAAUUUGACGCAAUCUAAUUUAAACAGAUUGGACGUUUAACUUACACUCACUUUUACUUCUCUCGCUCGAUUUUUAAUUUACAAAAGUCGGAUAAGAAUUUAUACUGCGGAUAUUAAAGUGAGCAUUAUUGUAUUUUUAUUAUACAAUUAUUUAUAUCAAAGUUGCGUUUAUUCAAUUGAAAUUUAAUUUCAAUUUUGAACGAAUCGAUCAAAAAAUUAAAAUGUAAACGCAGCUUUAAAAUUAGAGGAAUUUAAAAUUAUUUGCUUCACGAAAGUGUGUAUGUACUAAAGGCUGUGUUUACAUUAAGUUUCACGGUCAAAACUUGCUUAAUGUAAACAUGGCAUUCAAAAUUCAGAGGUUUCAUGUGUUUCAUGUGUAGACAUAACCAAUGUUAUAAUCUAUAAAGUUAUUUCAAUUUGAUUAACAAUUCAUUGCCCGAAAUAAAAUCAUAUUUAUGUAACGAAGGUAUAUAAUUUGUUAAAAAAUACGUAUAAACAAGAGUAAAAAAAUAUAAUAAUAAAUAUAACGUUAAAAUUAUUUUCAGUACAGAAAUAUUGCGAAACAUUAAGAUGAGAAAAUUUUUUACGAAAUUAUAUAACUGAAAUUCGCGUGACUUUCUUUCUUUUAAAUGACGGUGGAAGAAAGUAGAUAAGAUAAUUGAGAGAAUGAGUUAAAGUUAGUAUGCAAUUU